rnacentral:rRNA from 1 species
GAGUUUGAUCCUGGCUCAGAGUGAACGCUGGCGGCAGGCCUAACACAUGCAAGUCGAACGGCAGCGCAGCAGUAGCAAUACUGUGGGCGGCGAGUGGCGGACGGGUGAGGAAUACAUCGGAAUCUACCUUGUCGUGGGGGAUAACGUAGGGAAACUUACGCUAAUACCGCAUACGAACCAUGGUUGAAAGCGGCGGACCGCAAGGCGUCGCGCGAUUGGAUGAGCCGAUGUCCGAUUAGCUAGUUGGCGGGGUAAAGGCCCACCAAGGCGACGAUCGGUAGCUGGUCUGAGAGGAUGAUCAGCCACACUGGAACUGAGACACGGUCCAGACUCCUACGGGAGGCAGCAGUGGGGAAUAUUGGACAAUGGGCGCAAGCCUGAUCCAGCCAUGCCGCGUGUGUGAAGAAGGCCUUCGGGUUGUAAAGCACUUUUGUUGGGGAAGAAAAGACACCGGUUAAUACCCGGGGUUUCUGACGGUACCCAAAGAAUAAGCACCGGCUAACUUCGUGCCAGCAGCCGCGGUAUUC